AGUAAUGCCUAGGAAUCUGCCUGAUAGUGGGGGACAACGUUUCGAAAGGAACGCUAAUACCGCAUACGUCCUACGGGAGAAAGUGGGGGAUCUUCGGACCUCACGCUAUCAGAUGAGCCUAGGUCGGAUUAGCUAGUUGGUGGGGUAACGGCUCACCAAGGCGACGAUCCGUAACUGGUCUGAGAGGAUGAUCAGUCACACUGGAACUGAGACACGGUCCAGACUCCUACGGGAGGCAGCAGUGGGGAAUAUUGGACAAUGGGCGAAAGCCUGAUCCAGCCAUGCCGCGUGUGUGAAGAAGGCCCUCGGGUCGUAAAGCACUUUAAGCUGGGAGGAAGGGUUGUAACCUAAUACGUUGCAGCUUUGACGUUACCAGCAGAAUAAGCACCGGCUAACUCUGUGCCAGCAGCCGCGGUAAUACAGAGGGUGCAAGCGUUAAUCGGAAUUACUGGGCGUAAAGCGCGCGUAGGUGGCUUGGUAAGUUGAAUGUGAAAUCCCCGGGCUCAACCUGGGAACUGCAUCCAAAACUGCCUGGCUAGAGUACGGUAGAGGGUGGUGGAAUUUCCUGUGUAGCGGUGAAAUGCGUAGAUAUAGGAAGGAACACCAGUGGCGAAGGCGACCACCUGGACUGAUACUGACACUGAGGUGCGAAAGCGUGGGGAGCAAACAGGAUUAGAUACCCUGGUAGUCCACGCCGUAA
rnacentral:rRNA from 1 species